UGGCGGUAUGCUUAACACAUGCAAGUCGAACGGUAGCAGGCCUUCGGGCGCUGACGAGUGGCGGACGGGUGAGUAACGCGUAGGAAUCUGCCUGGUAGUGGGGGACAACGUGGGGAAACUCACGCUAAUACCGCAUACGCCCUACGGGGGAAAGCGGGGGCUCUUCGGACCUCGCGCUAUCAGAUGAGCCUGCGUUAGAUUAGCUAGUUGGUAGGGUAAAGGCCUACCAAGGCGACGAUCUAUAGCUGGUCUGAGAGGACGAUCAGCCACACUGGGACUGAGACACGGCCCAGACUCCUACGGGAGGCAGCAGUGGGGAAUAUUGGACAAUGGGCGCAAGCCUGAUCCAGCAAUACCGCGUGUGUGAAGAAGGCCUUAGGGUUGUAAAGCACUUUCAAUGGGGAGGAAAACCUGCCGGUCAAUACCCGGUAGCUUGACAUUACCUUUAGAAGAAGCACCGGCUAACUCCGUGCCAGCAGCCGCGGUAAUACGGAGGGUGCGAGCGUUAAUCGGAAUUACUGGGCGUAAAGCGUGCGUAGGCGGUUCGUUAAGUCAGAUGUGAAAGCCCCGGGCUUAACCUGGGAACUGCAUUUGAAACUGGCGGACUAGAGUUGAGUAGAGGGGAGUGGAAUUUCAGGUGUAGCGGUGAAAUGCGUAGAUAUCUGAAGGAACACCAGUGGCGAAGGCGACUCCCUGGACUCAAACUGACGCUGAGGUACGAAAGCGUGGGUAGCAAACAGGAUUAGAUA
rnacentral:rRNA from 1 species